UGUUUUUUCACACCCCUUCCACCUUCUCCAGUUGAU
rnacentral:lncRNA from 1 species